rfam:Brachypodium distachyon strain Bd21 chromosome 2, whole genome shotgun sequence.
CUAAUACUCCCUCCGUCCAACAAAAGAUGUCUCAAAUUUGUCAAAAUUUAGAUGUAUCUAGACAUGACUUAGUGUAUAAAUGCAUUCAAAUUUGAUCAAAAUUGAGACAAUCUUUGUUGAACGGAGGGAGUAUCCU